rnacentral:rRNA from 1 species
GAUGAACGCUAGCGGCAGGCUUAACACAUGCAAGUCGAGGGGCAGCAUAAUGGAUAGCAAUAUCUAUGGUGGCGACCGGCGCACGGGUGCGUAACGCGUAUGCAACCUACCUUUAACAGGGGGAUAACACUGAGAAAUUGGUACUAAUACCCCAUAAUAUCAUAGAAGGCAUCUUUUAUGGUUGAAAAUUCCGAUGGUUAGAGAUGGGCAUGCGUUGUAUUAGCUAGUUGGUGGGGUAACGGCUCACCAAGGCGACGAUACAUAGGGGGACUGAGAGGUUAACCCCCCACACUGGUACUGAGACACGGACCAGACUCCUACGGGAGGCAGCAGUGAGGAAGAUUGGUCAAUGGACGCAAGUCUGAACCAGCCAUGCCGCGUGCAGGAUGACGGCUCUAUGAGUUGUAAACUGCUUUUGUACGAGGGUAAACGCAGAUACGUGUAUCUGUCUGAAAGUAUCGUACGAAUAAGGAUCGGCUAACUCCGUG